GAGUUUGAUCAUGGCUCAGAACGAACGCUGGCGGCGCGUCUUAAGCAUGCAAGUCGAACGGUAAGGGAGAGCUUGCUCUCCCCUAGAGUGGCGGACUGGUGAGUAACGCGUGGGUGACCUGCCCUGAAGAUGGGGAUAGCUAGUAGAAAUAUUAGAUAAUACCGAAUGUGCUCAUUUACAUAAAGGUAAAUGAGGAAAGGAGCUACGGCUCCGCUUCAGGAUGGGCCCGCGUCCCAUUAGCUGGUUGGUGAGGUAAAGGCCCACCAAGGCAACGAUGGGUAUCCGGCCUGAGAGGGUGAACGGACACAUUGGGACUGAGAUACGGCCCAAACUCCUACGGGAGGCAGCAGCUAAGAAUCUUCCGCAAUGGACGAAAGUCUGACGGAGCGACGCCGUGUGAAUGAAGAAGGCCGAAAGGUUGUAAAAUUCUUUUGCAGAUGAAGAAUAAA
rnacentral:rRNA from 1 species